rnacentral:rRNA from 1 species
AGCGAACGCUGGCGGCAGGCCUAACACAUGCAAGUCGAACGAACCGUCCGGGGCUAGCGGCGGACGGCGGAGGACGACGGGGGAACGUGCCCUUAGGUGCGGAAUAAUGCAGGGCAAGAUGAGCUAAUACCGAAGGUGCUCUUCGGGGGAAAGAUUUUGCGGCUUUAGAGCGGCCCGCAUCUGCUUGGCUAGGUGGUUGAGGUGAUGGCUCACCAAGGCGUGGAUCAGUAGCUGGCCUGAGAGGAUGCUCAGCCACAUUGGGACGGAGACCCGGCCCAAACGCCUGCGGGAGGCAGCAGUGGGGACUCUAGCGCAAUGAGCGAAAGCCUGCCGCGGCCAUGCCGCGUGAAUGAUGAAGGGCUUAGAAUCGUAAAAUUCUUUCGCCGGGGACGAUAAUGCCGGUACCCGGGGAAGAAGCCCCGGCUACCUCCUU